AUUGAACGCUGGCGGCAGGCCUAACACAUGCAAGUCGAGCGGAUGAAGGGAGCUUGCUCCUGGAUUCAGCGGCGGACGGGUGAGUAAUGCCUAGGAAUCUGCCUGGUAGUGGGGGAUAACGUCCGGAAACGGGCGCUAAUACCGCAUACGUCCUGAGGGAGAAAGUGGGGGAUCUUCGGACCUCACGCUAUCAGAUGAGCCUAGGUCGGAUUAGCUAGUUGGUGGGGUAAAGGCCUACCAAGGCGACGAUCCGUAACUGGUCUGAGAGGAUGAUCAGUCACACUGGAACUGAGACACGGUCCAGACUCCUACGGGAGGCAGCAGUGGGGAAUAUUGGACAAUGGGCGAAAGCCUGAUCCAGCCAUGCCGCGUGUGUGAAGAAGGUCUUCGGAUUGUAAAGCACUUUUAGUUGGGAGGAAGGGAAGUAAGUUAAUACCUUGCUGUUUUGACGUUACCAACAGAAUAAGCACCGGCUAACUUCGUG
rnacentral:rRNA from 1 species